rnacentral:tRNA from 1 species
GGGGAUAUGGCGGAAUCGGUAGACGCUACGGACUUAAAAUCCGUUGGUUCUAUAGAUCGUGAGGGUUCGAGUCCCUCUAUCCCCA